rnacentral:rRNA from 1 species
AGGGUUCGAUUCUGGCUCAGGAUGAACGCUGGCGGCGUGCUUAACACAUGCAAGUCGAACGGGAUCCCGGGGGUUCGCUUCCGGGUGAGAGUGGCGAACGGGUGAGUAAUGCGUGACCGACCUGCCCCAUACACCGGAAUAGCUCCUGGAAACGGGUGGUAAUGCCGGAUGCUCCGGUUGGAUGCAUGUCCUUCCGGGAAAGAUUCUAUCGGUAUGGGAUGGGGUCGCGUCCUAUCAGCUUGAUGGCGGGGUAACGGCCCACCAUGGCUUCGACGGGUAGCCGGCCUGAGAGGGCGACCGGCCACAUUGGGACUGAGAUACGGCCCAGACUCCUACGGGAGGCAGCAGUGGGGAAUAUUGCACAAUGGGCGCAAGCCUGAUGCAGCGACGCCGCGUGCGGGAUGGAGGCCUUCGGGUUGUAAACCGCUUUUGAUCGGGAGCAAGCCCUUCGGGGUGAGUGUACCUUUCGAAUAAGCACCGGCUAACUACGUGCCAGCAGCCGCGGUAAUACGUAGGGUGCAAGCGUUAUCCGGAAUUAUUGGGCGUAAAGGGCUCGUAGGCGGUUCGUCGCGUCCGGUGUGAAAGCCCAUCGCUUAACGGUGGGUCUGCGCCGGGUACGGGCGGGCUGGAGUGCGGUAGGGGAGACUGGAAUUCCCGGUGUAACGGUGGAAUGUGUAGAUAUCGGGAAGAACACCAAUGGCGAAGGCAGGUCUCUGGGCCGUCACUGACGCUGAGGAGCGAAAGCGUGGGGAGCGAACAGGAUUAGAUACCCUGGUAGUCCACGCCGUAAACGGUGGAUGCUGGAUGUGGGGCCCGUUCCCCGGUUUCCGUGUCGGAGCUAACGCGUUAAGGAUCCCGGCCUGGGGAG